CACAGCCUGCAGGAACGCAGGCCAGCUGUCUAGUACAUAGCAUGCUGAAUUUGGACUUUGGACUCAAGUUCUAAUCCUACAUCUCUCAGAGGUUAGCUCAACAUCUUGGACAGCUUCUGCAUCUGUAAAGGUCUUAUUAUAGCAUCCCCUUGGCCCUGGGACCUGUGAUCUUCAUUGGAAAAAUUCAAGUAACAUUCUCAGUGACCUCGUGAGUAAACAGACGAUGAACUCAGUCUAGAGAGGUUUGCUGCCUCAGACUCAGCCACCUGGAACCCCAAAUCCCAUGCUCAAAGCUACCAUGAAGCUCGCCGGAUAGAAAGUCUCAGAGUCCCUCUUGCUGUUAUCUGGCAUCUCUUCGAGGGACAUCCAUUUCUGUGUCCACAUUUCUGAAAUGAGACAUAGCCAGCUGCAAAAUUAAUGAUUUAAUCUGGCUUGAAUACUACUUCAAACUCCAAACUGUUUACAAACAUAAUAAAAGAUAAUGAAGAAAAAUUUGAA